AUGAUCUUCCUGUUCCAGAAGGUACCGAGGAAGGAGGAAGGAGAAGCGAUGAGUGUCAGUGUCUACCUCUCUGGAGGGGUCUUCACCGAAGAGCCACCCAACAGCUUCCGCUUCUAUCUCAAUGGCCAUUCCAGCUACAAAGGUGGCGAACAAAUGUAGUCUUUUCGCUGAGCACAUUGGCACCAAGAUUAAGAUCUGGGCUGUGUUACUAAGGUAGAAGGGGAGAGUAGAUACGGGUAGGCAACUAGCAGUUUCUGUCCCCACCCUACUUACCAAACAAGUUCACUGGCUGCUGUGUUCAGUUCUCUGCGUGGUGCCUGUUCCUCCAAGGAGAGCCCCUUUCAAGCUGCAGUCACUGCAGGUCUGCUCGUCAAGACUUCUUUCUGGAUUACCCGUGUGGUUGAGGGCAACAAGGACUGUGGUCAGCAUCAGCGUCUGAGUCAGGGCUGGACUUCUCCAAAUCUUCAGGAAUAGCAGGGUACAGAUAACUGAGUAAGGGAAAACGGGCAGCGUGAACUAAAAAGAGGUGCAUUUUGCUGAUAAGCCGUCGGGUCCAUACUCAGGCGGCACAGCAUGGUCAGAACGCCAUCCUGGGAACCACUCCGCUCCCCUGGGAGCACAGGCACCAGGACCAGAGGACGCUGGGAAGCUGGUUGGGUACUGUUAUAGUAAUAAGUUUAGUUAGUAUAAGAUAGCAUAAUCAAAUUUCAUUUCUUUAUUAGAGUGAAUUUUAAACUUUACUUAGAAGAGGAACUUAAUUUGUGUGUGUGUGUGAGACCCUGAUAAGUAACUUGUAACGCCCUGCCUGUUAACUCCUGACAAAUAACUUGUAACUCCUGAUCAACAACUCCCUGCAUGUUAACUCCUGAUAAGUACCUUGUAACCCCCUGCGUGUGCAUCCUGAUGAGCCCAGAAGGCCACCGGAGCACACUGAUAUGAGACACUGAAGAAGCCUGUUAUAGUAAUAAGUUUAGUUAGCAUAAGUAGGCUCCAUUUUUGUAUUAGCACAAGUUAGCAUAAGUAGACCCCAUUUUAUUCUUAGGCCAAAACUUGUAAACAACUCCAAAAUAAGAUGCGUGUGUGUGACUGAUAAGCUUUGGACAUGUACACAACUUCCCCGCCUGAGUGUAUCCCUAGAUAACAGGGCGGCACCCGUGUAUGGCACCCGAUAGGAGACACUGAAGACGCCCAGCUUCAAGGAUUUAAGGAGAGCAAAUCUGCUGCGGUUCAGACGCCUGUCUGCUCCUCCACAGCCAGACGUUCUCCUCCCCCCUGGAAACUGCCAAACGGCCAUUCCUGCUCUGCCUUUGAGCCCAGACUGUUAAGAGGCCUCUCUUCGAGUCAAGAGACCGAGCUCCUUGCCGCGGCGUAUUGGACGACCUCCGUGUCUCUGUCAGCGAGUGUCUCCGGGUGGCCUGCCAAGGACUGAAACCCAUCAGCUCUCUGGCCUCCCCGUUCUCAUACACAAAACCUCGCUGAGGGGAGAGGCUGUCCCGCUGAUAGGACAGGGCGAACUCCAACUGCGCUCGCCCUGUGACAGCCAGGCAACCGUGACCUCCGUGACGUCUGAUCCGAUCAAUCAUCGAGUUCCCAGUGCACUGCCCGGAUUAAAAUCUCUCCCUCCCUUUCAGGGAGAAGCAUUUUUGUUUCAAAAUCACACAGUCGGAGCUUUGGAAAUUAAUUUUCAAACGUCUUUGCCUCUGGAGAAGGCAUGCCCGUUCACAUCUGAAAUUUUCCCUCGACGCCUUAGGUGAUGUGUCGACGGAGCUUCUGAGCUUCCACGGUGCAGCUGGAAAGGAGACAAAGAAAGUCUUGCCCCUAUCUGUUUCCGUGGAAAUGAUGUUUGAAUGGCAUGCAACCUUGGAAGACAGAGCUACUGCCUCUCCAAAGCCAUGGGGAGGCUUGCUUAAAAUCACUUGGAAGACAGAUAUGGCAUCACUCCAGGGCAAAAGGCAGGCCUACCUACUGGCCAUUUUGUAAGAUUCCAUCUUGCCUCUCCCGUAAGACAUUCCUGAGGCCUCUCUGUAUAGCCCCCUUGGGUCUUCAGGGCAAGGAGAAUGGCUACAAAUAUGCUGGUGCUCACGCUACUUGCUGUGUUGAGAGUAAUAAAGUCCAUUAUCUCUGACCCAGGCGUCUCUCGACUUCUGCCAGCAUCCACGAAACCAGGGCAGGCUAACUUUUAGCGUGUGAAUAGGGUGAAACUUCAGACUCUCCAUAGUUCUUGACAGGAUAUUCCUUUCAGAAUAAAAGAGGGAGGUAGGAGAAAGCUCUUGCCUCUUGGCCUUUCUCCUUUCUUCUUACCUUGAGAUACAGCAACCAAUUUGGGGCCAUCAGGUGACAGCGUGAGGACAACAGUCUACAUCUAAAGGUGGGAUGGCAGAACAGAAAGAUGAAGGACCUGGGCUCCUGGUAGAGAGAGUCACUGUCCUCGCCCUGGGCUGCAUAAUUAAUUUCAGGCUUCUGCUUAUAUGAGACACAUGAACUUCUAAUUGUUUACAUCAAUGUUAAUUGUGUUUGUUUGUUUUUUUCAGACAAAUGCAUCCUUAGAGUUUGCAUCAACCAUAGUAACACAGUAAUUACAUAAUAGUAAUUGUGUCAAAUAUAUGCAAACUUAUGGCUAGUGUGUUGCUACCUUCCUUCUUGAUUCUGAUUCUACCUUUCUGUAUGUUAACAUUAUUAUAUGUAUCUCCUAUAAACUAACUCAAAUCCUUUUGGGAAAGAUGUGCAAAAAAUCAAUUCAAUAAAUAUAAUUUGGUCCCAGGCCAAAUGUAUCCCUGAACUUCCGUGAGUUAUCUCUUAAGUUACUAGUCAAAAAGGAAAAACAAUAGGACUAACCUUUUGCAAACUCAUACCUGGUGUCAUGAGGCCUGUUUACUCACCAAUGUUAUCUAGCCCCUUGCAGAAUGGCUGCCUGGUAGUAGGCCUUCAAAUAUUUGCUGACCAAGUGCUCAUGAAAGGUGUCUCUUUAUCAAAUGUGUUGGUUAUGCCCAAAGAAUAUU